CCAGCCGCCGCGGUAAGACGGAGGAUGCAAGCGUUAUCCGGAAUGAUUGGGCGUAAAGCGUCCGCAGGUGGCAGUUCAAGUCUGCUGUCAAAGACCGGGGCUCAACCUCGGAAAGGCAGUGGAAACUGAACAGCUAGAGUAUGGUAGGGGCAAAGGGAAUUCCUGGUGUAGCGGUGAAAUGCGUAGAGAUCAGGAAGAACAUCGGUGGCGAAGGCGCUUUGCUGGACCAUAACUGACACUCAGGGACGAAAGCUAGGGGAGCGAAUGGGAUUAGAUACCCCAGUAGUCCUAGCCGUAAACGAUGGAUACUAGGUGUUGUCUGUAUCGACCCGGACAGUGCCGUAGCUAACGCGUUAAGUAUCCCGCCUGGGGAGUACGCAGGCAACUGUGAAACUCAAAGGAAUUGACGGGGGCCCGCACAAGCGGUGGAGUAUGUGGUUUAAUUCGAUGCAACGCGAAGAACCUUACCAGGACUUGACAUGUCGCGAAUCUUUUGGAAACAGAAGAGUGCCUUAGGGAGCGCGAACACAGGUGGUGCAUGGCUGUCGUCAGCUCGUGUCGUGAGAUGUUGGGUUAAGUCCCGCAACGAGCGCAACCCUCGUGUUUAGUUGCCAUCAUUAAGUUGGGAACUCUAAACAGACUGCCGGUGACAAACCGGAGGAAGGUGGGGAUGACGUCAAGUCAGCAUGCCCCUUACGUCCUGGGCUACACACGUACUACAAUGGUAGGGACAGAGGGCAGCCAACUCGCGAGAGUGAGCUAAUCCCGUAAACCCUGCCUCAGUUCAGAUUGCAGGCUGCAACUCGCCUGCAUGAAGGCGGAAUCGCUAGUAAUCGCAGGUCAGCAUACUGCGGUGAAUCCGUUCCCGGGCCUUGUACACACCGCCCGUCACACCAUGGAAGUUGGCCACGCCCGAAGUCAUUACUCUAACCUUUCGAGGGGGAGGAUGCCGAAGGCAGGGCUGAUGACUGGGGUGAAGUCGUAACAAGGUAACCAAG
rnacentral:rRNA from 1 species